GAUGAACGCUGGCGGCGUGCUUAACACAUGCAAGUCGAACGGACCCUUCGGGGUUAGUGGCGGACGGGUGAGUAACGCGUGAGGAUCUGCCCUUAGGAGGGGAACAACAGUUGGAAACGACUGCUAAUGCCCCAUAUGCCGAGAGGUGAAAAGUUAUAUCGCCUAGGGAUGAACUCGCGUCUGAUUAGCUAGUUGGUGGGGUAAAGGCUCACCAAGGCGACGAUCAGUAGCUGGUCUAAGAGGAUGAUCAGCCACACUGGGACUGAGACACGGCCCAGACUCCUACGGGAGGCAGCAGUGGGGAAUUUUCCGCAAUGGGCGAAAGCCUGACGGAGCAACGCCGCGUGAGGGACGAAGGCCUUAGGGUUGUAAACCUCUUUUCUCUGGGAAGAAGAAC
rnacentral:rRNA from 1 species